rfam:Microgenomates (Woesebacteria) bacterium GW2011_GWA1_43_12 TV66_C0001, whole genome shotgun sequence.
GGAGGAGUCGCAUAGCUGGUCCAUUGCGGAAGUUCGCUAAACUUCUGAGUCUAAUAGACUCGCGUGGGUUCGAAUCCCGCCUCCUCCG